CGCCGCGUGAGGGAUGAAGGCCUUCGGGGUGUAAAGCUCUUUCGACGGGGAAGAUAAUGACGGUACCUGUAGAAGAAGCUGCGGCUAACUACGUGCCAGCAGCCGCGGUAAUACGUAGGGGGCAAGCGUUGUUCGGAAUUACUGGGCGUAAAGGGUGCGUAGGCGGUUUUCCAAGUCUGGUGUGAAAUCUCCCGGCUCAACUGGGAGGGUGCGCCGGAAACUGCCGGGCUUGAGUAUGGGAGAGGUGAGUGGAAUUCCUGGUGUAGCGGUGAAAUGCGUAGAUAUCAGGAGGAACACCUGUGGUGUAAACGGCUUACUGGACCAUAACUGACGCUGAGGCACGAAAGCGUGGGGAGCAAACAGGAUUAGAUACCCUGGUAGUCCACGCCCUAAACGAUGCAUGCUUGGUGUGGGCGGUUC
rnacentral:rRNA from 1 species